AUGAAUGCACAUCAGAAGGCCGAAGGAAGCAGGGGCAGGGCUGGGCCCGGAGGCCCACAUCCGAGGGACUUUGGAAAGCUGAUCCCCCAGGCCCUGUGGCGACACAGGCAAAAACCAUCCAGCACCCAGGAGAAGCUGGUCCGGCUGGCUGCUGGGAGGGGAGGGCUAUGCACACCUCAGCUCCAAGAAACAGACGCGGGCAGGGAGCUGGAGCCACGCACGUCUGACUCCUCACCCCCAGAACAGCCCCGAGUGUCUGUCCGUCGGUAAAAGGACGGCCAAGGGCCAUGCGGAAUCCCACAGAGAAACAUCGCUCGGCAAGGAAAAGAACAAACACGGACACACGUGGCAACCUGGACAAACAUCAGGACGGAAGGUCGCGCAAAGGCAGCCACACACACAAGGGCAGGUGGCUCCGUGAGGCUCCGGGGCGGGCGCGCCUCCCCUAGGAAACGCCCAGAAGCACGGAGAGAGAGCAGGCCUAGAACAGGCCGCCAGCACCGGCCACGGGGGCUGAGACGUGGAAACCACCCAGGCGAGCGUCGUGGAGGCACAGGCUCACGGCCCACGCCACGCACACACAGCCGUCAGGGAACGAAACCCCCACGCGCGCUGCGACACGCAUGGUCCCCGGGGACGUUACGCUCCGCCCGCGAAGCCCGUCACGGACCGCAGGCAGGCAGGUCCCGAAGGAUGCCACCCCCGGAGACCCCGCACUGGUCGGAUGCCGACUCGCGGGCCGAUGGGGACAGAGUUCGCGUUUGGGAUGACGGAAGAGGCCUGGAGGCGGGCGGUGGCGAGGGUCGUGCGACAGUGAAGACGUGCUUCACGCUGCUGAACUGACCGCGUAAAACCAGAUGAGACGCUAAGUUUUGUUUCGGCUGUUUUGCCACCGAGUCAAAAGGAGGAGAGACCCUAGCCUGGAGUCAAGGAAGGUCAUCGGUGGCCACCUGGCUGGGGUGGAGAGAGACUGGGUCGGUGCACCUGGGAAGGAACUUUCUGGAGGGAGGGCCACGUGCUGCACGAGGACCAGGGCGGCGGGAGCACAGACAGAUGCCUGCGUCAGAGGCCAAUGACCACAACUCUCGAGAUGCCUGUAGUUUACCGGACGCAAACCGUAUCCGAUAAAGUUGAUUCUGGAAGUAAGAACAAAACAAACUUUGAACUCUC